GACGAACGCUGGCGGUAUGCUUUACACAUGCAAGUCAUACGGAAGUUAGUUUCGGCUAACUUCAGUGGCGGACGGGUGAGUAACACGUGAGAAUUCGCCUUUAGGAGGGGGAUAACAGGGGGAAACACCUGCUAAAACCCCAUAUGCCUUCGGGUCAAAAGAGUAAUCUGCCUAAAGAGAAGCUCGCGGCUGAUUAGCUAGUUGGUAGGGUAAAGGCCUACCAAGGCGACGAUAAGUAGCUGGUCUGAGAGGACGAUCAGCCACACUGGAACUGAGACACGGUCCAGACUCCUACGGGAGGCAGCAGUGAGGAAUUUUCUGCAAUGGGCGAAAGCCUGACAGAGCAAUACCGCGUGAGGGAAGAAGGCUUACUGAGUUGUAAACCUCUGUUACCUAAGGAGGAAGAUCUGACGUUACUUAGGAGACGAAGCAUCGGCUAACUCCGUGCCAGCAGCCGCGGUAACAC
rnacentral:rRNA from 1 species